UGAUUCAGAGUGAACGAAAGAAAAAUUUUUUACAAGCGAUCAAAGGCGCUGUCCGCGAUUUUGUGUAAAUUCCUACAAUUAAAAGUAACAAAGUUUAAUAGAAAAGUAUAAUAAUAGUGAAACUAGUUGCUUGAAUCAUUUUGCUAUAUGUAUUUUAUGAAAAUUGGGGGAUUUGCCCGAGAAAAUCGCAUGUGAAAGGCGAGUGUAAGCAGCCUAAAAAUUGUGCUAACGAGGAGAAAAAUGCGAACAAAUUUUAACGGGAAGAAAAAGGUUUGUUCGGUCUUCUCCACGGCAUUGUUUUUGCUGUCGUUAGCGACGUCGGCAGCAGAGGUGGUGUCGCUUUCGAUUCUGUCGUGAGUGCAAAGAAUUUGUAAAAAUCAAAGAAAACGAAAUUAUAGAAUUAUAAAGCGAAAAACAAACUGAUGUAGAUAAUAAGUGACUAAAAAAUAUCUUUUGGGAAAAUAUAAAUCCGUACCACAGGUAAAAACAAUCAGCUAAUAUUAAAAAGUAAUAGCCGUCACCAUCAGCGCCGCUUAACAUAUUGCUCGGGCGUUUUGACAUUUGAUGACAUUUGCGCAGCAAAAGCGAACGGUUGGGUAUUGCUGAAAGUGUAGUUGUGGUUGAAGUAAAGCGAGCAACGAGGAAUCGGCGAAAAAGGAUAAAAUCAAUCGUUUUCUUUGGCAAACAGUGAACUGUGAUGAAAAAUAUUAUCGUAAUGGUUUCCAUCGCUCUGUUUAGCUAAAAAGGACAUCGAUUUUGUUCUCCGGUCCGCUAACAUACUAUACAAUGUCGACAAUAAAGUUGUGUUGACCUUGCAAAUUUCAAUACCACAGGACACACGGGCAGUUCAAUCCUGUUACUACUAAGUAAGCGUGUGUCCGAGCAAGAAACAAUUUGGCAGACAGACAAUUCCAAAAUACAGGCAUUGCACAUAAACUACACAGUAAAACACAUAACAUAAAAUAUUCAAAUAACCAACACAAUAAAUUAGUAUAAAGCUUCAAUAGAACUGCAUUCAAUGUGCCAUUUCAUCUGGAGAUAAGGUUCACACUAUUCCCAACAUUUAAUAUAUGUAUAUUUAACGUAGACGCUUAAGUAAAGUAUUAGAUACCAAAAAGAAAAGGAUACGCAACAGAAGAAUUCCCUCCACUAAGCAAAGCAGCGUCAAAUAACAAAAUUAUAACAAGCGCAGUUGUCUAAAUAAUUGUAUUCGCACCACUAUUAAGAUAAUCUCUGUCUUAUUUAAUAUACUUAUCCAUAACUAAAGCUUACAGUUUGUGCACUACACUAUUCAAAAUUGGUUGAAAACUACUCUCCAGAACUCGAAUUUAUAAGAUUUGAGAGCGAUAGAAAAUUAAAACUCAACGAAUUAUAGUUCAAAGAAAAGAGUUAAUGGUGAUUACUGAAUAACUUGAUGCUUACACUUAGUGAAAGGAACAUAAUUCAUCUUAAACAAGCGGGAUUCACAAUAAAGAAGAAAGUUAUUUGAUAUCAAUAUAUAUGUGUAAAAUUAUAUUUAUCUAAGACGGGCCAUCAAAUCGGCUUGGAACUAACUUUUAUUGAGAGGCAGUUAAAUUGAGCAUCCUGCAAAUCGCUCUGAAGUACAUGUACAUGGAGUAAUUGGAUGCACUGAUAAUCACGUCUCCAUAGAAAGCGUCAAUAUCUACAAAAUAGCCAGUGGUGGCAUCAUUCAGAAAAUUCUACUAGCCUUGUUUGAUUCAGUUUUGCCAGAUAUAAAUAUUUGUAGAGCAGAUUCGUAAGAGGACAUAAGAAGUAGAGCUAAAAAUAUAUACAAAGCCGGAAAAUGUCAUCGGGAACAUUUGUUGAUCGAAUUGAUCCAUUUGCCAAACGCUCAUUGAAGAAAAAGAGUAAAAAAAGUCAGGGUUCCUCGCGUUAUAGAAAUUCUCAGGAUGUGGAGCUUCAACAGCUGCCGCCGUUAAAAGCCGAUUGCUCCAGUUUGGAACAAGAAGAAUUAUUCAUUCGCAAGUUACGUCAGUGCUGUGUAUCUUUUGACUUUAUGGAUCCCGUAACGGAUCUAAAAGGUAAAGAAAUUAAGAGAGCUGCUCUAAAUGACCUCUCCAAUUAUAUAACACACGGUAGAGGUGUGCUCACGGAACCUGUGUAUCCAGAAAUUAUACGUAUGAUAUCAUGUAACUUGUUCCGCACACUGCCUCCCAGUGAAAACCCAGAUUUCGAUCCUGAAGAAGAUGAUCCAACAUUAGAAGCUUCAUGGCCACAUUUGCAAUUAGUCUAUGAAGUAUUUCUGCGUUUUUUGGAAUCGCAAGACUUUCAAGCGACUAUAGGCAAACGAGUAAUUGACCAGAAAUUUGUUUUGCAGCUUUUGGAGCUCUUCGAUUCUGAGGAUCCACGUGAACGCGAUUUUCUCAAAACCGUUCUACAUCGCAUCUAUGGAAAAUUCUUAGGAUUACGCGCUUUUAUACGAAAACAAAUUAACAAUAUUUUCUUGCGUUUUAUUUACGAAACAGAGCAUUUUAAUGGUGUCGGCGAAUUACUGGAAAUAUUGGGCAGUAUAAUUAAUGGUUUUGCCUUGCCUCUGAAGGCCGAGCAUAAACAGUUUCUUGUGAAGGUGCUAUUACCUCUGCACAAAGUGAAAUGCCUCGGGUUAUAUCACGCUCAACUGGCAUAUUGCAUCGUACAGUUUCUUGAAAAAGACCCAUACCUUACUGAGCCGGUAGUGCGUGGAUUAUUGAAGUUUUGGCCAAAAACCUGUUCUCAAAAAGAGGUUAUGUUUUUGGGAGAAAUCGAGGAGAUAUUGGAUGUUAUUGAUCCUCCUCAAUUUGUAAAAAUACAGGAGCCAUUAUUUCGUCAGAUCGCCAAAUGUGUGUCAAGUCCGCAUUUUCAAGUUGCCGAGCGUGCGCUUUUCCUUUGGAAUAAUGAAUAUGCAAUGUCGUUGAUAGAGGAGAAUAACGCAGUUAUUAUGCCGAUAAUGUUUCCGGCGCUGUAUAGAAUUAGUAAAGAACAUUGGAAUCAGACUAUCGUUGCCUUGGUUUACAACGUGCUAAAGACAUUCAUGGAAAUGAACUCGAAACUUUUCGAUGAACUAACCGCCAGCUAUAAAGCUGAGCGACAGAAAGAGAAGAAGCGCGAACGAGAUCGCGAAGAGUUAUGGAAGAAAUUACAUGAACUUGAAAUAUAUCGUGCAAGAAGCGGCAGUGCCGUGGGCACAUCUAAUUCGGUGCUAGGAGCUGGUGGAAGUGGCGGCAGUGCCGCUGGCUCGCAACAAAAUAUCAACUCCUAUCAGCAACAACAAUCGAAUGCAAGCAUGGUAAACAGCGGAAAUAGCGGUGGCUCUGGUGACAACAAUCCUGCCUUACUUAGCGGCGGUGCACAAAGCGGGGGUACCUCAGUGAAUGCCGGCGGUACGAAUGCGUUUGCCAAAGUAAAAGCGGAAAAGGCAGAAAACUAAACUAUGAGGCGAACAAUGAAUGGGAACAAACUUAAUAAUAACUUAGUGUGAAGUUCAAGCCGUGAAAGAAAUAUUUGGUGUUGUAAGUCAAAAAAGAUAAACGGAGCUUGCAUUUGUGCGCCUACGACCCAGUGUAAGCCGCAAUGGAAAUGAAAAUAUUAUUAAGUAAACUUGGAGUCCCUAUCGAAAAUAGACAAAAACAAAAACUACACCAACAUGAUCAAAACAAAAACGUUUCACCACCAUAAUAUCCGGCAUCAUUACCUUGAUAACGAUCGAACUAGAAGAAGCUAAAUAUUGAUAAAAUACAAAAUAAAAGUAAAUAAAAAAACAAACAAAAAAAAUAUAUAAAAUAGAUGUCGGAUUUAAGAGCAACGUAAUGUGGAUGAAAGGCAGAACACUUACAACUGGGAUCGUGGUAUUACAUAAACAAAAGAAAAUCCAGCAUAAACAUUCUCCAUACUUACAUACGGGGAGUGCUGCUGGAGUGACAGUCCUUGGGCGGAUAUAAAUCCGGGUCAUUUCGGUAACGUAGAACCGACUGCCAUGGAAACGCAUAUAGUACAUACCUUCUACUUGAAAUUUGAAUUUUCAAUUUUUUCCCCAUUUUUCUAUUAAGUAUAAGAAUGCAUGUACGCUCUUAAUAAUUGAAAAAUUUUCAAUAUAAUAAAUAAAAUGUCUGCGAAAAAAAUUGAAUUUCUUCAAAUUUAUUUAUUUUUGCUCGUACAUACUCGCAUCCUCUAACGUAUAAAAGUAUGCACCUGCCAUUAUCAAGGCAAAUGUAGCCAAACUAUUGAUAUUACUUAUAUUUAGAAAAAAAAAUUGGAAAUAAAAAUAUGGCUUCACAAAGAAAAUUAAUCACCACCGUUGGGCGAAAAUAAGGAAAAAACGGCUUAACGAAUUUAAAAUUAUGUGAAAGAAGUAAACAUUGAAAUUAUUAUUUAGCUUUAGUUUUUUAUAAUUUGUUGCUAAUAAUUGCCGCUUCUGCUAAAUCACGAAUCAAAUCAAAAUAAACGAACUUUGGCAAUAUAUGUACAUAAAAUAUACAUACAUGCCUCUUUAUUGUUAGAACUAUUUUAAAAGGAAAAAUUUGUUUGAUAUUUUGCAUUUUUUCUUUGCCAAACAAAACACUUGCUAGCAAUUUAAACCAGAAAAUUAUGCACUUAAUUUUAUAAGAUAUUGUAUUUAAUUUUCACAAAUAAAAUUCUAGUUUUAUUAUAUAUCUUUAUGAAUACACUAACUUUCUCAAUUGGUAUGAAUUUAAUUAUCCAAUUGAUUUUUAGACUUACAACUAGGAUACAAAAGUUCUUUUUGUUCGCAGUGCCUAUUUGGUCUGCUACAACCUACAACCAUUAUUUAUUUAGCUGCUUAGCCAUACACACAUGCACGCACGUGUCUGUAUGAGUGUGUAUACUUGUAAUGCUGCGAUUUUUUGCUCGCUUCUGCAUACGUCGUUGUUGAGCGGAGAAAAGUCAUUUAACGACAGUUUUACUGUUUACAUUACCGUUCGCCUCAAAUCGUUGGUUCAAGUUAUUGGAAACGCAUUAGUAAUUGAAUUGAAGUAAAAGCCCCAAUAGUAAUUGUAAAUAAAUAAGAUUAAUUACCCUUAAAGAACCAAACACACACACACAUAUAUAUAUAUAUGUACGUAACUACAUUUAUUUACACACAUAUUUCUCACUCACAACUUGGAUAAAGUAAAAAAUAAAAUAGAACAAAUAAAAUAUAAAACAGCAGCAGAACAGACAACAAUAAAAGCAAGUGUAGCAUAAAUUUACAUAUAUACAUACACACAAUAAAAGUUUAGAGUUUUAGUGCAAAACAAAAAAAAAAAAACUAAACAGAAAGAAAGUGUGAAUCACUUACGGAAAUGUGAAAUAAAUGUAAUAGUAAAAGAAGAAAAUUAAAAAAAUUAAAACUAACUUAAAAAGAGGUUCGAUUUUGUGACUAUAGACGAUUUUAAUAGCGAAGAAAUGGGAAAUUACAAUCUCAUUGAUUCAUAUAAUGGUAAUUCAAUUUACUAUUUAAUAAUAAUACUAUUUAGGGAUUUAAUAAUUUUCUUUUUCAAGUUUUCUGAGUUCAACGUUCCAUGAACGCAAAUUUGUUUAGAAAAUAUCACAUGUGAGUACCAACAAUUGUUAUACGUACAUACAUACAAAUAGCUCUAGCUCCCCUCAAAAUUUGACCGCCUUAACCCGUGUAAAUUAUUAUUAUUUAAUUUUUUUUAUUUUUGUAUAACGAGAUCAUUGUCGACCCUGUCCGGUACACACCCUUUAUUUGUGUAAAACGUUGAAAUAAUUAUAAAUCCCUUAUUUGCUGGCAUAAAAUAAUCGCAGACAGUUUUCCAUAUAGUCGAAAAGAAGCAAAACUCUCCCCUUAGUGUUAAAAAAUAAUAGUAAUAAUAGCUUAGAGAACAGCUGAACGCAAAUUUUUGUAAGCAAAAAUAAUAAUGUAACUUUAAGGCAUUUAAAAAGAGGAAAAUAAAUAGUAUAUGUUUGUUGGGUGAAAAACAAAAAUUGCAAAAAUAAGUAAAAUAAAAUAAAAUUACACGUAGACAUUUGCAAAAAUGUUAUAAAAAAAUACCAAACCAACUAUGUAGUGAAUGCAUGAAACAUGUGAAAAAGUUGGGGAAAUGCGGAAAUGAUGGAAUGAUUGAAAUCCAAUACAAAUACAUAUGUAUGUAGUUAUCAGAAAUGAAGUUAUAAAUAAGAAUAAAACGCUUAAUCAUUCGAUAUAAAUACUAAAUAAAUGAAGGAAAAGAAAACACACACACACACUCACACGUAUACAUAGGUAAUCCCUACAGUACACUCUCCCAUGUAACGAAUAUAGAAAUGUCAAAACAAAAACAAACAAAAAAAUCGGAGAGUUAAUUGUAAAAGGUAUAUGAGCGAAAUAGUUAUAACAACUAAGUAAAUAUAUACAAUACAGAUAUAUAUAUGUAUAUACUAUAUACUUAUAUAUAAAUGAAAAUAUAAAUAAAAACGUAUACAUAUGAAAUAAUUAAAAAAAAAAUAAAAGAUUUAGUAUGUGAACCGAAAACUUAAAAAAUACCGUAAAUCACACAAAGCAAAACUAUAAUAAAGCAUAACGUACAUUCAUACAUACAUACAUGCAUACAUAUAUACAUAUAUAUUAUAUAUAAAGUGAAACUAUUGAUUUCUGCAUUAAAUCUUUUGUUUAUUAUAUCUUUUGUUGUUGUACAUCUACACAUACCUACUACUAAAAUUUAUUAUAAAGUUAGAAAUAUAUACAAAUAUAUGUAUGUAGUAUACAAUUAUGGUAAACAUGCUAUGUAUAACAAACAACUGUGUGAGAUAUUUAAGUUGGUCCAAAAGUGAUCGAUCGAUAUAAGAUUAUACGAGUACUUGUUCGAUAAGAAGGCAGAUGAAAUUUAGUGUCAAAAUCAAUUUUUGACCUAUUAUUAUAUGUAAAAAAUUCUUCAUUUAUGGCUUUGAAGUUUCCAGUUUUUAUCGAUAAUAUUGGCCUAAUAAAACUCCAAAAAGUACUGGUUAUUUUUCAACAGUUGGUUUUUAUAUUCAGCAACAUAAAGUAAACAAAAAUGAUCCAUCGUUCGCAUUGCCGAAUUUGUUUACGAACAAGCAGGACUGUCACUUACGCCAGUACCAUUUAAGAAAAAAAAAGAAUUUUUACUUAUAUUUUCUUCCUAUACGAAACUAUUUCCAAGGGGAGAAAUAAACUAGGCGCGUUAGGCAGAACCGGCUGGGACUUCAGUAGCAUUCCCAUGGGAGUCGGUUCUAUGUUACCGGAAUGGCUCGGGUUUUCCCCGACCAAGGGCUCGACCGCCUCAGUAAAUUAGCUCUGCCUAGUGUACCGUACCCUGGAAUUCAGCUGCUUGCUUUUACUAUUUCGUUUGUGAAGCUUUUUAACACAUUACAUUAAACGCGUUCAUUAGGGAUACAGUACAUAUUCCAAAAAAAAAAAAUGUAUAGUUUUUGUUUUUAAGUGCUGGUGGUUCCAAAAAAAGAGGCCAUCAAUCAAGUACAGUCGCUGUCUGUCGACAACAAUGCUCGACAAAAUUGUUCUGCAAUGGCGAAUAUUUUUCAUAUAGAGUGGGACCCUGAUAUAAACAAACAAACUUUGUUUGGUGCUAUUAUUUAAAUGGUGGGAUAAAAAUCCACAAAUUGCUAGGGUAUUCCAAUUUUUUUUAUUUUAUUUUAAAUUCAAAUUGUGCUUGUCUGUCCAUUAUUACGGCAAUGCACUCGCCUGUCCGUUAUUACAGCAGCUCCUUCUUAAACUUAUGAAUCUUCAAAAUGCCCGGUAGGCGCGUACGCCAUACCCGACUGUUGCUCCGCGGCUAACAAACACAUUUUAUGACAAAAAUUUUCAAACAUUCUAAGAACCUCUUCACACAGAAAUGCUCCAUAGCGCUCAGUAUAGGGACCACAUUUUAAGCUUGAAAAGGCGGCAAGCAAAACUAUCGGCUUAACGAAAUACUCGUUUAUACCCUUCUAAUUUGUUUUAUCGAGGUUACACUGUAGUGCAUAACUUUAAGUUAUUUUAAAGGAUUAUUGUUUGAUAUUUCCUCAAGGUUUAUUUAUAUCAUAGAAGAAGAGGAUAAAAAAAUAUAUUUGAUUUUGAAUAUUUGAUUUGCGUAGAGCAACUCGUCUAGUGAUCAGUGACAGAGCAAAAUGUAUAUUUUUAAACUAGAUAUUUUUUGAGAGUUUUCCAUUUUCCACAUUGAAACCAAGUCAAAGUUAUAUAUCGACAUUUUUACACUCCUUUCGUAUUGCAGUAUAUUUUUUGUUCGAAGCAAAUUCUGAGUGUUGGCCAAAGUUUUCUAAAUAAAAACAAGAGAAAGAAAAAUUAUUAAAAAUAAAAUAUAAUAUUGCCCAGAGUCCGUGCACAUUCUAGAUUAACAUGAAUUCUGUUUAUUUGAUUCAAGAGUGUCAUGAACCAAAAUGUCGAGGAAAACGGAAAUUGACGUUGUCUUCCUAAGAAAAAUGCAAGACAUAUUUCGAUUUAAUCCUUUGCGGUUGAUGUCGUUACAGAGGCGUCAAUCGUAAGUCGUCGUAAAAGUCUGAGCUGCCAGUCUGGCGACAGGAUGUCAUUAAGAGGAAAGGAAAAAUUUCCGGGACCAGUAGAGUUGAGAUCAGUAGAAAGCUAUGCUAUUAAACGCAAUAUGCAUAUACAGUGUACUCUCUCCUAACGGACAUCACUCUUAAGCGUACCAUUUUUUCAAUAAAUUAAUUUUAAAGUUACACUUUUCUCAUAAGCGGACCCCUCCCGUAAACGGACAAAUUUUUCAGUCCCUUAAGCGUCCGCUUAAGAGAGAAUACAUUGUAUUUGCUUUAAAUCAAUAAGAGACAAAUAACUCCCAAACGCUAAAUUUGCUCUCCGACCAGCUGGUACUCCCAUCAGAGAAAUCAGCAGAUCGCCAUGCAUUUUUUAAACAGCACAAAAUAAAAACUCGUCACGUUCCCACGGCAGUCGGUUCUACGUUACCAGAACGACCGGGAUAUAUUUAUAUACGGACAAGGACUGUCACUCUGGUAGCAUUCCCCGCAUAUUUAUGGGGAAUGUUUGUGGUCCCACAAUAACAACAAGGACGAACUUGAUGUUCCUGUAUAUUUAUGUAAACAAUUUUUUUUUUAUUAUUUUUUUAUUUUAUUUUGCGCUUGCGACCAAUAAGCAUUCGUGCUAAGUUUUUGUUGCUGUAGCCGAAUGCAUUUGUGUGUGUCUACCAAUCGUUAGGGCCCGCGUUUAAAACUCACUAAUGGCAUGAAACACCAAAUGGUAGAAAAAGUGAUUUCUAAUUGCAAUCGUCCCUCGGCAGGCAAUUUUUUGCACAUGUACAAAGUGGCGCAAAAUUAAUGAUCCAAAUUUGUUUUUGAAUAAUUUUUUUACUAAAUAAAAAUAUAUAUUUUGAGUGAUUGAAAUCUUUAUUCUUCUGACCUUUAGGCGCUCCAUUGCUUGUCUGAUUGUAUACUGGAACUGUCGUUGAGGUUAAACAUUUUAUUGGCAGAUGCCCAAUAUUAUCACAAUUCCGUGUUGCAAAUUUCCAAAAAAAACUUUGGCACAUUAUAAUAUAGUUUACUCGCAUGUGUUGAAUAGAAAAAAAAUUGAGUCUUGAGAAAAACCUAGUUUCUUACAUAACUGGUGCUUUAAAGUACAGAGAAUUAAUUGGAAAUGAAUUUACAUACGUGAUACGCUAAAAAUACAGCGCAUAUUCCGGCAGGCGACUGUUAAGGGGUUAUAUACAGUUAGAAGACCGAAACAAAGCGAGUUUUCCGGAAUUUUUUCUAAAAAAUUUGUACACAUAUUAUGUUUUCUUUUAACUGUAUUUUAAGACUUAGUAUUAGUAAAAAUAUUCAUUUGGAAAGGAGCUAUAGCUGAUCUCCGGGAGCUCCUCUCAAAACAGACGUUUUGCGAUGACCACUAUAUGUGACAACAGAUGUCAUUAAAGUAAUGUUAAAUUUAGUAAUUAAUCGAAGGAAUAAACAAAAUAAAUUGUUUUGACAAAAUGGCGGUUUCUCAAAAAAAAAAAAAAAGAAAUCGAUUUUUGACCAAAAUUUCGGUCUUAAAAUGUUAAAAAAAAUAUUUAUCGGUGAAAAAAAAUCCCCGAUUAAUUACUAAAAAAUAUAUUUAAGAAGCUCGUGUUAAAAUUUGGAGACUAAUCGGUUUAGCCGUUUUUGAGUAAUGUUGGUCAUCGACUUUGAAAACACUAUUUUGAGAAAAACGCGCUGGCGUUCCGGCCUUGUACUUUCAAGCAGUCUGAAACGCCUUUUCAAAAUUGCGUGUAACUUCGAAAAUAUUCACCGGAACGAUAUUAAAUUUUCUGUGUGUGUUCUCAAAUAUAUGUACACUAAGAAAAGAAAAAUAGAUUGUUUUUUAAUUCUAACUGUAUAUAACCCCUUAAGGCCAUUGCCGUUUAUUCUUUAUUUAUUUGUUUAAAAAUUAUAUUUUUUAGUCUGUAAGCAAAUAUUGCGAGCUUUAAAUAUAAAUACAGAAGUAUUCUAUUGUAUUUUGUUCUACUGCGGCUGUAUAGUUCACAUCGGCGCCAUUUGCAAAAAUUACAAACCUUUCGAUAAGGUGAUUAAUUCUGUGCCACCUUGUAUUGUAUUGUUCUACGACGGGCACAUUUCCUACACUGGAAACUUGUUUUAUAGUGCAAUCUUUUGAAAAAUCUCAUAAAAUUCAGUGUUUAGUCUAAAAUUAAAGAAACAUUUUUUAUUUUAUAUCGAGCCUUCGGUGAAUGCUAUAAAUUUAUAAAAUUUUUUAUUUUAUUUAUUUUUUACUUUGAAAAUUAUGAUAAUAAAAUUAUUAGUAAACUCAAGCACACGCAGCGCUAGCAGCAGAGGCUUUCGACUGGCUGGUUGUUGUUGUUGUAGCACAUUCCCCGUGCAUAUACGAGGAAUGCUGCUGAAGUGACAGUCCUUGGCCGGAUAUAAAUCUGGGUCGUUCCGGUUACAUAGAACCGACAGCCGUGGGAAAGUUCUACUGGCUGGUGAUGUGAGUUGAAUCAGAUACGACGGAGUAAGUCGGUGUCCUUUAGAAAUGUGUAAAUUUUUUUAUGUUAUCUUCAGUGACAUUUUUAAAAUUUGAAGAGGAUCUUAUUACAGCGCAUUAAAUAGGAAAUACUAGAAUCGCCACAAAUAGGAGGAGGAGCUCGGCCAAACACCCAAAGAGGGUGUACGCACCAAUUAUAUAUAUAUAUAUAGAAACGAUGUUGACUCGUAUCCGC